rnacentral:rRNA from 1 species
CAGUAGCCGCGGUAAUACGGAGGGUGCAAGCGUUAAUCGGAAUUACUGGGCGUAAAGCGCACGCAGGCGGUUUGUUAAGUCAGAUGUGAAAUCCCCGGGCUCAACCUGGGAACUGCAUUUGAAACUGGCAAGCUAGAGUCUCGUAGAGGGGGGUAGAAUUCCAGGUGUAGCGGUGAAAUGCGUAGAGAUCUGGAGGAAUACCGGUGGCGAAGGCGGCCCCCUGGACGAAGACUGACGCUCAGGUGCGAAAGCGUGGGGAGCAAACAGGAUUAGAUACCCCAGUAGUCCCUGUCUCUUAUAC